rnacentral:rRNA from 1 species
CUUUCGGGGAUGGGCAACUGGCGCACGGGUGAGUAACGCGUGAAAAACCUGCCUCAAAGAUUGGGACAACAACCCGAAAGGGUUGCUAAUACUAACUAAGCUCACGGUUCGCAUGUUCUGUGAGAAAAAGUCGGGGUAACCUGACGCUUUGAGAUGGUCUCGCGUGUCAUUANCUAGUUGGUGAGGUAACGGCUCACCAAGGCUACGAUGACUAACCGGCCUGAGAGGGUGGCCGGCCACAUAGGGACUGAGACACGGCCCUAACUCCUACGGGAGGCAGCAGUGGGGAAUUUUGCGCAAUGAUCGAAAGAUUGACGCACCGACCCCGCGUGGACGAUGAAGGUUUUCGGAUCGUAAAGUCCUUUCAGCAAGGAAGAAUGGAUAUGUAAGUAACUGUGCAUAUAUUGACGGUACUUGCA